ensembl:snRNA U6 U6 spliceosomal RNA
AUGCUUGCUUCGGCAGCAUAUAUACUAAAAUUAAAACAAUACAGAGAAGAUUAGCAUGGCCCCUGUGCAAGGAUGACAUGCAAAUUCGUGAAAUAUUCCAUAUUUUU